CACGUAGGAGGCGAGCGUUGUCCGGAAUCAUUGGGCGUAAAGCGCGUGUAGGCGGUUCGGUAAGUCCGCUGUGAAAGUCGGGGGCUCAACCCUCGAAUGCCGGUGGAUACUGUCGGACUAGAGUACGGAAGAGGCGAGUGGAAUUCCUGGUGUAGCGGUGAAAUGCGCAGAUAUCAGGAGGAACACCAAUUGCGAAGGCAGCUCGCUGGGACGUUACUGACGCUGAGACGCGAAAGCGUGGGGAGCAAACAGG
rnacentral:rRNA from 1 species